UGAAGUUAGCAAAGAUUGUGGCCAGGCACGGUGGCUCACGCCUGUAAUCCCAGCACUUUGGGAGGCCGAGGCGGGCGGAUCACAAGGUCAGGAGAUCAAGACUUUCUUGGCCAACAUGGUGAAACCCCAUCUCUACUAAAAUACAAAAAAUUAGCCGGGCGUGGUGGGGUUUCACCAUGUUGGCCAAGCUGGUCUUGAUCUCCUGUCCUCAAGUAAUCUGCCUGCCACAGCCUCCCAAAGUACUGGGAUUACAGGCAAGAGCCACCACGCC
rnacentral:lncRNA from 1 species